GAUUGGAUAAGAACACACGAUUAUUAAAAUUACCCGAAUUUUGUUUUAGGGGACGGUUAAGUUUGGCGAUCUAAAAUGUGACUCACUUUACACUGAUUUAAUAAGUUUAACGGAAUGUCGGAUAAAGGCAGUUAACCGUAGUUUUAACAUCGUUAAUUUGAAAUGCACUGUGAACAAGAAAAUAUCAGAAUUUCAGAUAAACUUCAAAUUAUUGAAGCGGGAACGUGGAGGCUGGCAUCCGUUUUUGUAUGAUAUCAAUGUGGACAUGUGCGAUUUCUUCAAACACCCCUACAAAUUCAUGGUGUUUACCUUUUUUUAUAAAUAUGCUAAAGAUUACACCAGUAUGAACCACACCUGCCCCUAUUUGCCAAAUGUGGAAAUUGCGUUAUUAGAUUGGGGAAUUAAUGAGAAAGAAAUUUUACAGAAAUUUCCAGUUGAAAUCGGAGUAUAUGCUAUAC